GAAGUAUAGAAGUCGCCAUGUUUUUUUUAGCCAAAACAAGAAAGCCGAACAACUAAGAGGAGUUCGAGAUGCCGUCUUAUGCUGCUAUUAAUUGCACAAAUCGUAAUACUCGUGAAAAUCGCGACGAGGGACUUACACUUCACAGAUUUCCACACUGCAAUGCUCAACUUCUAAAGCAAUGGCUAGUAAAUAUGCGGAGAGACAGGUGGAUUCCUGCUGCCAGAUCGCAACUCUUUUGUAGUCAUUUCACUGAGGAGAACUUCGACAGGACCGGCCAGACUGUUAGAUUACGACAAAAUGCAGUUUCAACAAUAUUUGACUUUCCUGAUCAUCUUCUAAAGGUGAAGCAAGAUGGCCGACCAAUGGCUUCAUGCGGUCAGCAGGGACGCCCCUUCCAGUAGUAUAGAGUGGUGAAAACAGCAAGGCUAGACAGGCCUUGAUAAGGCCGCACGGUGGCCGAUUGGUUAGCAUGUUGGAGAUCGGGAAGACCUGGGGUCGAAUCUUCGUUGGGCAUCUCUGCAUGGAGUUUGCAUGUUCUCCCGUGCGUGCGUGAGUUU